rnacentral:rRNA from 1 species
ACGGGUGAGUAAUACAUCGGAACGUAUCCUGGAGUGGGGGAUAGCCCGGCGAAAGCCGGAUUAAUACCGCAUACGCUCUGAGGAGGAAAGCGGGGGACCUUCGGGCCUCGCGCUCAAGGGGCGGCCGAUGGCGGAUUAGGUAGUUGGUGGGGUAAAGGCCUACCAAGCCGACGAUCCGUAGCUGGUCUGAGAGGACGACCAGCCACACUGGGACUGAGACACGGCCCAGACUCCUACGGGAGGCAGCAGUGGGGAAUUUUGGACAAUGGGGGCAACCCUGAUCCAGCAAUGCCGCGUGUGUGAAGAAGGCCUUCGGGUUGUAAAGCACUUUUGUCCGGAAAGAAAUCAUCGGGGCUAAUACCCCUGGUGGAUGACGGUACCGGAAGAAUAAGCACCGGCUAACUACGUGCCAGCAGCCGCGGUAAUACGUAGGGUGCGAGCGUUAAUCGGAAUUACUGGGCGUAAAGCGUGCGCAGGCGGUGCUGUAAGACCGAUGUGAAAUCCCCGGGCUUAACCUGGGAACUGCAUUGGUGACUGCAGCGCUGGAGUAUGGCAGAGGGGGGUGGAUUUCCACGU